rnacentral:rRNA from 1 species
UAACUAAAAUAGUUUGGCAGCGAAUGAAUCCUAUCGGGGGAAGGUGUGUUGUAAAGGAUGAUCCGCCUAUUAAUUUACUCUUAUUAUGUUGGUGUAUAUCUAGUUUAAUAUUAUUGUCUAGUGACUUAAUUUGUGUAGAAUUUAGUUAAGCUAAGUCUAUGUGCUGCAUAUAGGAGUUUUCAUGCGUUACAUUUAUAAAGAGUUAGUUGUAAAGACUAAUUUAUUUAGGACUCGAAAGUAAUGUACAAUGAGUUUGUG